UACUGAAUGCAGUGAUAUUACAGGCAGAU
rnacentral:piRNA from 1 species